rnacentral:rRNA from 1 species
AUGGAGAUCACCACCACCGACAGAUGGGGCCAAGCAAAGGGGCCACCUGCAGUGUCAGCGGUAAGCAACAACGCGUGCGAGCAUCAAAAGCGCGAGGCACCUGUUUACCCGGCGACGAACAUCGCGCCCAAACGCCACCAACCAAUAGCCAUGCGCGGCUGGACACUCCUGAGACAGACAUGCAGGCCCACCGCGGGUUCGACAGAGCACGGUCAAAAUAUGAAUAUAGCACCCACGUUUCCGUCGACAGCACCGCCCAUCUCGCACGCGCGUACUCUCUUCCUGCCUCAGAUCUCCCUUCCCACACACGACGACUCAGCAACAUCGAUCCAAUCCAUGGGGACUGCCUUGCCCCAAUCCGACGGCAACGGCGUCGAGGUCAACGCCAUGCCCGACCUGGAGAUCGGUCAAUCCACCAUGGAGAUCGGUCAAUCCACCAUGGAGAUCGAUCAAUCCACCAUAAUCAACAUACUACACUCCAUGGUACCAUAUGCUUCGCCACCGGUCGCAGCGCAGCUGGGGCGCACGCUGUGGGGGCUGGGCUCACUCACCCUUGUACUGGCCCUGACCACCGUGCUCCACCUUCCGGCCGCCGGACCUGUCUUCGCGCACUACAAGGCAGCAUAUUAUACCAUCCUUGCCUUUGUCCUCUUCAUCGCUACAGUGUUGAUGUAUUGCUCAAGCGCUCAGCGCGUCAGGUUGGGCUUCCCGCAGUAUGGCCUCUCCCACGAGGUGGUGCAGAUCCUGCGCUUGCUCGACGUGCUCGCCAAUGAGGCGCUCCGGCAGUGGCUCAAGGAGUACUCUAGCUGGCCCACCUUCCUGGAGUAUUACAUUGAUGGUGAGUUCUUCUGCGGGGAGACAUCACGGUCGGGUUUAUUGAAUAAUCCAUGCCCAAGAACUCAGCCAAAACUGUUAGGACUUGCGAGUGAUGUACUACUCAUUAGUAACACAAACCACUUGCCUGCUGUUUGUUUCCAGGUGGUCUGCUUUGACAUCUGGCCAAAGCAGCGCUCAACGUGUCUGAUCGGCUUCCUGCAGUGCGGCUGUGGUUGCUCGACGUGCCCUUCGAGACGCUCAAUGUACUUGCCAACUAGGCGCUCCGAUAGGGGCGCAAGGAGUACUCCAGCUGGCCCACCUUCCCGCAGCUCCACAUCGGCGGCGAUUUCUUCGGCGGAUGCGACAUCACCGUCGAAGUGCCGCAUCCAGGAAAGGUUGCCUUGGCCCACGUCGAAACCCCCCGUGCGAGGAGACGAGGACUCCCCGACGCGGCCUCCGCAAGCGGGGCUUCGUCCGGCCGCGCCCUCUGGCGGCGACAAGGCAGGGAGGAGGGAAGGAGGGAUGAGCGCAUGGCUUGAGGCGCCCUUGAGGAAUGUGAGCUCGUCCUUGCACAUCCUCGACUACAGUUUUGUCACUUGCUUGGGUGGUUGUUUGCCAUCGUCAUCGGUGUGGUUCGGGAUGUCGCAAGAGCAGAGGUGGGAUUUUCCGGUGCGAUUCUGGUCAAAUACAUGCAUAAAAUACAGCCAACUUCACGAAUAA